GUCCACUACGGGAAUUCGAACCCUUGUAUUUAUCGCUCUAAGUCCGUAGACACACCGAGGGACUUUAAUAAAGUUGGCCUUUUGAUGCUGUGCACUAUAGGUUGCCAAACGUCGUGAUGCUAUUCGUUGUUUCCUGGUGGGAAAGCGGUAAAUCUACGGGCUUA